rnacentral:rRNA from 1 species
UACGUAUGGUGCGAACGUUGUUCGGAAUCACUGGGCAUAAAGAGCACGUAGGCGGUUAAGCAAGUCCAUUGUGAAAUCCCCCGGCCUAACCGGGGAACUGCAUUGGACACUACUUGACUUGAGUGCAGGAGGGGAGAGUGGAAUUCCAGGUGGAGCGGUGAAAUGCGUAGAUAUCUGGAGGAACGCCGGCGGCGAAAGCGACUCUCUGGUCUGUAACUGACGCUGAGGUGCGAAAGCUAGGGGAGCAAACGGG